AGCUAGGUCCAUCUAUAGGAGAUGCUUCAGUAAAAGAUUUAGUGGGACAGGUUCAGAGGACAUAUGCCACAACUGGUUGCGUUUUGAGAGGGAAUACGGGACACUUGAAGAUUUUGACCACGCUGCAUAGAAGGUUACACCCCGCUUGGAAGAGCUGCAAUUAUUUAGGUUACAGUAGGAAGCCAAAUCUGUUCCUGAACUAAUAGAUCAGAAAGAGAAGUCACAUAAGAAAAGUGUUAAUGGAAAGAGAAAAACAGUUUUGAACAUGACUGACGAACAGUCUCCAGCUAAGCGGUAGAAAAAUACUGCCCAAAACCCAAACAAAGUGCAUGGGAAAGAAAAGGGACGAGCAUAGAACGUAGCUGAAGAAAACGAAGUAGAAGCAAAACCCAAGUUUGAAGAGCAUCCAAAUGACCAGCACAUC